rnacentral:lncRNA from 1 species
CCAAACACAACGAGUCUGAACACAGGAUCCAUGAGUUGGGUAAGCACUAAGUCGUACACCCGACGGCGCAUUUAUGCGUAGGAUUCACGUAUAGAUUAGGCGCGUCAUGGGCACCUUGGUCAAUGGGACGUGCGCCUCAACGCACGUCUUGUUGGCCUGGCACUUGUACACGUGGGCACACAGCACGCAGGCAGUUUCGAGUGGGCGUGCAGGUGUCCU